rnacentral:lncRNA from 1 species
ACCUUGCUUGAAGGAAGGGUGGAAUGAAGAUAGAGAAUGAGGAACCACCAAGUUAAAUGCGAACAACUAGCUUUUUAUGUUUGGUUAAGUUUAAAAAUUAAAUUUUUAGAUAAUUUUUUAGUUUUAAACAUGUCUUGAUAGAUUACUUCUUUCUUAGUUUAAGUAAAAAAAUUACUUAUUGUAAUUAACUGUCUGACUCUCAAAAUAGGUAAUUUACUCUUAAUUUUUAAUCAAUAAAAAAUUACUUAUUUGCUUUUAAGAAAU